rnacentral:rRNA from 1 species
AGAGUUUGAUCCUGGCUCAGGAUGAACGCUAGCGGCAGGCUUAACACAUGCAAGUCGAGGGGUAACAUUGUGCUUGCACAGAUGACGACCGGCGCACGGGUGCGUAACGCGUAUAGAACCUACCUUUUACAGAGGAAUAGCCUUUAGAAAUGAAGAUUAAUGCCUUAUGGUAUUAUAGACUGGCAUCAGUUUAUAAUUAAAGAUUUAUCGGUAAAAGAUGGCUAUGCGUCCUAUUAGUUAGUUGGUAAGGUAACGGCUUACCAAGACAGCGAUAGGUAGGGGUCCUGAGAGGGAGAUCCCCCACACUGGUACUGAGACACGGACCAGACUCCUACGGGAGGCAGCAGUGAGGAAUAUUGGACAAUGGAGGAGACUCUGACCCAGCCAUGCCGCGUGUAGGAAGAAUGCCCUAUGGGUUGUAAACUACUUUUAUACAGGAAGAAACACUGGUAUGUAUACCAGCUUGACGGUACUGUAAGAAUAAGGACCGGCUAACUCCGUGCCAGCAGCCGCGGUAAUACGGAGGGUCCGAGCGUUAUCCGGAAUCAUUGGGUUUAAAGGGUCCGCAGGCGGUCUAUUAAGUCAGAGGUGAAAUCCCAUAGCUCAACUAUGGAACUGCCUUUGAUACUGGUUGACUUGAGUCAUAUGGAAGUAGAUAGAAUGUGUAGUGUAGCGGUGAAAUGCAUAGAUAUUACACAGAAUACCGAUUGCGAAGGCAGUCUACUACGUAUGUACUGACGCUGAGGGACGAAAGCGUGGGGAGCGAACAGGAUUAGAUACCCUGGUAGUCCACGCCGUAAACGAUGGAUACUAGUUGUUGGGAUUUAUCUCAGUGACUAAGCGAAAGUGAUAAGUAUCCCACCUGGGGAGUA